GUCCGUUCACUACCAAAUUUCACCCGAAUUUGAUUGAGCAGCCGCCGGAUUUCACGAAUGAACUACCUGCAUCGGCAUCCGACACAUUCCGCCGCGAGAGGCGCUUCAAGCAUUGCGUCAACCCUACCGGAAACUAAUGGAAACUAUUGAAGGUUCCAUUAAACUCCAACAGAUGGUGACUGUAUAGCGUAAGCAAUUUUACAGUGGAUGUACCAAAUAGGGGAAAAUAGUAUUAUCUGAAAUUUUGCUUCUUGUUGAACUUUGAUUAACAUUUUAAAACGCCUUUCAGCGCAUUGUUUUAAAUUUUUGUUGUAGUUUUCAUAAAACAGCACAUGAUUUAUUUAUUUUGUUAAAAAUGUGUAUUAAAAAUUAAUUAUACUUUUCAAGCUGUGCUAAAAAUGGUGCAGUACGGUAAACUGCCACAGCAACAUUUUGACAGCUCAUUUGUUUGGGCCAGCACGAUUCGCGACUACGAAGGUUGAUGAGCCGGGAAACACUCUUUCUUCCUACGGGGUUUCUUAUGGGAGUAUGAGUGAAAAAACAGCAAAAAAUCUUCUCUCCUUCACUUUCUCACAGAAAACCGCAAACAAAAUCAUCACCUUCGUAGUCCCCAAUCGCCGGAGCCGCGAUCGCAGCACCAAUGUAAAUAGUGUAAAUAUUGAUAACGCGAUUUCCAGUGAAUGUUUCGCAAAAAAUAUCCGGGUCGGAAAUCUGAAACUUCCACGGGAAGAAUAGAGAUUGGUGAACAACUGGAGUUUAAACUGGAUCGAUGUGAGAAAACGGCCGAGCAGGAACAGGAAAAGUGUCGCGAAAAUUGACCCAGGAGGUGUUUCAAGAGCUAAGGUGCCGUGAAUAAGUUUCCCCAAGUGAUUUCGCUGACGUUGCAGGAGCCGUUGGCCGUGGACCAGUCACAGGAUAUGGAAUGGUUGUGAAAGGCCAUAUUACAGCUAAACGCGUUCGGCGGGCACAAGUAUUUA